UACGUAGGUGGCAAGCGUUGUCCGGAUUUACUGGGCGUAAAGAGCUUGUAGGUGGUUUGUCGCGUUGUUCGUGAAAUCUCACGGCUCAACUGUGAGCGUGCGGGCGAUACGGGCAGACUAGAGUACUGCAGGGGAGACUGGAAUUCCUGGUGUAGCGGUGGAAUGCGCAGAUAUCAGGAGGAACACCGGUGGCGAAGGCGGGUCUCUGGGCAGUAACUGACGCUGAGAAGCGAAAGACGUGGGGAGCGAACAGG
rnacentral:rRNA from 1 species